rnacentral:rRNA from 1 species
UACGUAGGGUGCGAGCGUUGUCCGGAAUUAUUGGGCGUAAAGAGCUCGUAGGCGGUGUGUCGCGUCGGCUGUGAAAACCCGGGGCUCAACCCCGGGCCUGCAGCCGAUACGGGCAGACUAGAGUUCGGCAGGGGAGACUGGAAUUCCUGGUGUAGCGGUGAAAUGCGCAGAUAUCAGGAGGAACACCGGUGGCGAAGGCGGGUCUCUGGGCCGAUACUGACGCUGAGGAGCGAAAGCGUGGGGAGCGAACAGG